rnacentral:rRNA from 1 species
AGUGAACGCUGGCGGUAGGCCUAACACAUGCAGGUCGAACGGCAGCACAGAGGAGCUUGCUCCUUGGGUGGCGAGUGGCGGACGGGUGAGGAAUACAUCGGAAUCUACUCUGUCGUGGGGGAUAACGUAGGGAAACUUACGCUAAUACCGCAUACGACCUACGGGUGAAAGCAGGGGAUCUUCGGACCUUGCGCGAUUGAAUGAGCCGAUGUCGGAUUAGCUAGUUGGCGGGGUAAAGGCCCACCAAGGCGACGAGCCGUAGCUGGUCUGAGAGGAUGAUCAGCCACACUGGAACUGAGACACGGUCCAGACUCCUACGGGAGGCAGCAGUGGGGAAUAUUGGACAAUGGGCGCAAGCCUGAUCCAGCCAUACCGCGUGGGUGAAGAAGGCCUUCGGGUUGUAAAGCCCUUUUGUUGGGAAAGAAAUCCAUCUGGUUAAUACCCGGGUGGGAUGACGGUACCCAAAGAAUAAGCACCGGCUAACUUCGUGCCAGCCGCCGCGGUAA